AAAAACAUUUUAUGAUUGGGAACCACAAAACCAGCCUUUGAAUGCUCAGUCACAAUCAACCUUUGGGUAGACCAAACGAACGGUCAUUCAUUCAUUAAUACUAUUACUAAUUAAAACCAUCAAAAUGCCUAAAGGCAAACCUACGCAUCUGCAGAAAGAAACAGAAACCCAACAAAUCAUGCUUUUCUCCUCCUUCUUUGAAAAGCCAUUCAUUCAUCUUCUCUCAACAAACACUAAACCUAAACCCAUUUGAAAACCCAACAAAAAAUUGAAACGCAUACCAAACUCCAGAUUCACGGAUGAACACCUCAUGGUGUUCAUCAUCACCAACUCAAUAAAACUUAAAAACGUCACUCCUCACCCACUUUUCAAAACCUUAACUUUCCUCAUUCAAUAUGGAAAUUCUGAUGCAAAUCCUCAACCAACAAAUACUUUACCCAGGCAAUAUCAUACGCACACACGGAUUUCAUAAACAAAAUUUAACAAGCAAACAGAACAAUAACGAGACAGUAAUCAAUGUAGACCACAAACAAGCUAAACAAAAAACGUAUCCCCAAUCCACACCCUUGAACCCCGAUUUCAUGAUUUCCAAGGUAUUACAUGUACAAUCAGAAGAACAGAAGGAAAAGAAUCACAAUACAACAUCAUUUAAACAAAGUUCUACCAAGUUCAGAUGAUACCGAGAUGACUCACAGGGUAACGGUACCGGAUAAUCUCCUCCCCUGCAGCGAUUGGGAUGCUCUCUAUAUAGGGCCUUUAGGUACGAGGUUUCUUUUCUCGUCACCCCCUAUGAGCUGGUAAGCGGAUCAAGAUUUUUCUGUUAGAGAAAAUCUCUCACAGAUUCUGUGUGGUUCCUCCAAGCGGAAGUGGUCCCAAAAUGAAGAUAUUAAGCAUUUGGUUUAGUCUGUAGGGAAAGCUUGAAAAAUGUGACCCAUUCCGCUGACUCCUUUCUUAAACCCUCGAUGUAGUAAAAUGUAUGCUUGCUGUGGGCAUUUCCUCACAACUUCCAGAAAUUUAAGCUUCUCUUGGUUUAUACAGGUAACGUGAUUAUAUUGCACUCGCAUUAAGUUGUUAUGCAGUCCAUGCCGGUCUGUUGUGGAAUGGAUAAAACAUUUCCAGGAUGUGAUUGUGUUGGACUUGGUUGCUAUCCUGUUUGGUCUUUGUGUCAUCAUUUUUUCACUUCUAUAACACUUCCUGCAUGAUCUCCAACUGCCCCUUGGGAAGAUAUUACUGACUGGGAGUCAAUCCUUGCCGGCAAUGAAGUAGAAAACUUCAUCCACAUCCAUUGCAGAAGUUAAUUGAGACUUUGAGUCUGCUUCUGUAGACAGUCGUUUUCUAGCUUGCUGCUAUCUGAGAGCAUGGAGUCAGGCACAAUUCAUCAUUCCUUGGUGUUUCUAUUGGCUUAGGUAGCUCAACUGGUAAACUGGAUUCGCUGGACUAUUGAACUCCAUUCUUUUCAGAGGGACAAGAAUCAGACACACUUCCUUCAUCCUUCUGGUCAGCAGAUGUGUAUAUAUUUGAAAAGAAUAUGAACUUCAUUACAAAAAAUUUGGAUUAACUUUGAUAACAAUGCUACAUUUGAUGGUACACCGAGACAUUGCACUUGUAUAUGAAUUAACCGAAGUCGAUCUCAACUUGGCCAAUACGUGGUUCAUUGGUUGUUUCGCUUGUGGCUUGGAUCGCUGUUGUAUCACGUGGGACGCUGCCUUUUGCAAACUGUCAUCGGAUUUGCGUUUUGAUCUUAGCGGUUAAUCAACGGACACGCAGCAUGAAGUGUUGCAGUUUAGUGCAUUGGGAUGCUAUCAUUCUAACUCACCAUAGUAUUGCCAAUCCUGUGCUCAAUAUCACCAACAAUGAUAGCAGGCGAUAACAAGUAAUGCGACAUUCAUACAGCUAGGUAAAUUGUGACCAUGUGAGUUAUCCCUUUGGAACUGAAUUUCUCAUUUCGAUUUACUCUUGCAUUUUAUUGUUCAUUGUUGUUUGUGGAUAUGUCGCAGGUUAACGAUGCAGUGGAUUUACUGAUGUUUGAAUUACCAACAUGUGACUACAUUUGGUUUAUGCUAUUUGGCCUCAUUCAUGGCAACCCAAAACUAAACUGUAAAUGAAUUGUGCUUAUAACGACGUCUGACUUUUGGCCUUACGUUUUGUGCAGCAGCUCGGUGUUGUGGCUUCGCUCGCAGCUUUGGGUUCUUUUCACUGAUGUGCCAUUGCUUAGUUCUGUGCAUGCUGCUGUUUUGGUUAUUCCACAGGUUAUGCUCAAUGCUGGCUAUGGAAAGCAAAAUGCAUAAACCUUCAGAAGAACAAGCCACACUGCGGAACCUCUGUCUUCUAACGGGAGAGCAAGAGUUCGUGAAAUCCAUGGCAACCAAACUUUAUGCAAAUUGUAAUCCAAAGUAUUGCCAUAGGUCCCUUUCAAUGUCUUAUGACAGUUAUGCAUUGUAGAGAAAUGUAAAUUACUGAAGCGGUAUCGAUGGAACUUAGGAUGUAACUUCAGCUUUAGGUUUUGAAUGCAUUUGAGAAUAGUGGCUUGGAGUCACCUGGUGGAUGUAUUUGGUUUAGCACACUGUAAUGAGUUGUUGCAUAGAAUAUGAUGCGUAGGGCCUCUUGAAUGGUUUAGUUUCAAAUUUGUAAUUGAAUUUUGGUUAAUGUAAAUGAGUGGAUUUUUUAUGUGA